GUUGUGAUUCUCCUCUCAUGUCUGGACUCUGACCACUGUUGUAAUUUUGACAUAGGGCUGGGCUCAUCUGUCUAGGUUAUGUGACAGGUUAUGUGACUCUCUUCUUUCUUCCUAAGCCCUACCUACAGGGAGCAUGGGUACAUAGCUCUGGGCCCCUCACCGAAAUGAUGCAAUCCUCAUUCUUGGGCCCUUCACUCAGUGAGUACUGUGACAUAUUGAUGGACUCAGCACCUAGGUGAGGUAACUCUCUUCUACUUCUUGGGCUCUGACCAAGGAGGUAUUGUGAUGUAUCGCCGAGCCCAGCACAUAGGUAAUGUUACUCUUUUCUCCUGCCUGAGCUCAGCAUAAAUUGUGUAUUGCGACAUAUGGCCUAUCUUAACAACCAUGUGAUGCAACUCUUCUGCAUGAGCCCUGCCCAUAGGGGUAUUAUGCCAUACCUUUUUGUUUAUCACCUGGGUGAUGUGACACAUUUAUUUUUCUGCCUGGGCUCUGCUAAAGAGGGUUAUUAUAACAUAUCAUUUGGCCCAGCACCUAUGUGAUGUGACUCUCCUUUCUCCCAGGCCCCAAAUAUUUGGUGUAUUGUGAAAUAACACUGGGUCCAACACCUAGAAAAUAAGAGGCUCCUGCCUGGGCCCUGCCCUCAGGGGGCCUUGUAACAUAUAUCUGCAUACACUACCUAGGAAACGUGACUCUUCUUUUCUGCCUGCACCCUCCUAACAGAAAAGAUUAUGACACAUCACUGGACCCUGCGACAAGGUGGUGAGGCUCUUUUGACUGAGUCUUGAAUAUGUAGAUCAUUGUGACAUAUUGCUGCGCCCUCACAGAAGAUUGUGACAUACAUCUGGCCCCAAACCCAGAACAAGCUGCAAGUGGUGACUCGGACGUGAUCAAGAGGUGACUCCGACGUGAUUGCCUUGAAGUUAUGCAUGAAGUAGGAUGACUCACCAAUCUUCGGGGAAUACCGGACUAGAGUGGAUCCCCAUAAAAUGAGUGAAGCCAUAUUAUGAGUUAGAGACUACUGAAAAAGCCUCUCCUGAUGAUGAAGGACCUGUCAUUGGAGAAUCGACCAAAACUGACAGUGAUAACUUGGAAGGCACCUGACAUUACCUGGGGACAGCUAAAGAAACUGGACCAACAGGGAACUAUCUGGGAGCCCCUGCAACUGCAGAGAACCAGUUUCUUAUGUAUCUGAUGGUAAUUGGGGGAGCUUCUGAGAAGGUAAGACAGACAUGGAUGUUGGGGUGGCUGGUAAUUCUUGUUCUUUGCCAACUGGGCUUAGCUCAAUAACAUGUUUAUUGGAGUCAUGUUCUGAAUCCCUCAAUUUUCAAUGUUAUUAUGUGGUGUGAUGCUGACCCGCCUUUGUCAUCUAAUAAUACUUCUUGGAUGGGAGGUCGAUGGAUGCCCCUGUCUUACUCCCUAACUGAAAAUUUGGGAUGGAUUAAACUUAAUGACUCCUUG